ACGCUCGACACCUACGGGAGGCAGCAGUGAGGAAUAUUGGUCAAUGGACGCAAGUCUGAACCAGCCAUGCCGCGUGCAGGAUGACGGCUCUAUGAGUUGUAAACUGCUUUUGUACGAGGGUAAACGCAGAUACGUGUAUCUGUCUGAAAGUAUCGUACGAAUAAGGAUCGGCUAACUCCGUGCAGCAGCCGACGGUAAUCUGAGCGGGCUGGCAAGGC
rnacentral:rRNA from 1 species